AGCGAACGCUGGCGGCAGGCCUAACACAUGCAAGUCGAACGGAUCCUUCGGGAUUAGUGGCGGACGGGUGAGUAACACGUGGGAACGUGCCCUUUGAUUCGGAACAACUCAGGGAAACUUGAGCUAAUACCGGAUGUGCCCUUCGGGGGAAAGAUUUAUCGCCAUUGGAGCGGCCCGCGUCUGAUUAGCUAGUUGGUGAGGUAACGGCCCACCAAGGCGACGAUCAGUAGCUGGUCUGAGAGGAUGAUCAGCCACACUGGGACUGAGACACGGCCCAGACUCCUACGGGAGGCAGCAGUGGGGAAUCUUGCGCAAUGGGCGAAAGCCUGACGCAGCCAUGCCGCGUGAAUGAUGAAGGUCUUAGGAUUGUAAAAUUCUUUCAGCGGGGACGAUAAUGACGGUACCCGCAGAAGAAGCUCCGGCUAACUUCGUG
rnacentral:rRNA from 1 species